rnacentral:rRNA from 1 species
GGGGGAUAAGCGGAAGAAAUUCCGUCUAAUACCGCAUAAUACAAUUUGGAGACAUCUCCGGGUUGUCAAAGGAGUGAUCCGGCAGAGGAUGGACAUGCGGCGCAUUAGCUAGUCGGCGGGGUAACGGCCCACCGAGGCUACGAUGCGUAGGGGUUCUGAGAGGAAGGUCCCCCACACUGGUACUGAGACACGGACCAGACUCCUACGGGAGGCAGCAGUGAGGAAUAUUGGUCAAUGGGCGGAAGCCUGAACCAGCCAAGUCGCGUGAGGGAAGACGGUCCUAUGGAUUGUAAACCUCUUUUGCAGGGGAGCAAGGCGCGGUACGUGUACCGCGAAGGAGAGUACCCUGAGAAAAAGCAUCGGCUAACUCCGUGCCAGCAGCCGCGGUAAUACGGAGGAUGCGAGCGUUAUCCGGAUUUAUUGGGUUUAAAGGGUGCGCAGGCGGACUGUUAAGUCAGCGGUAAAAUGUCGGUGCUCAACACCGGCCGGCCGCUGAAACUGGCAGCCUUGAGUGAGCGAGAAGUAUGCGGAAUGCGUGGUGUAGCGGUGAAAUGCAUAGAUAUCACGCAGAACUCCGAUUGCGAAGGCAGCAUACCGGCGCUCAACUGACGCUCAGGCACGAAAGCGUGGGUAUCGAACAGGCUUAGAUACCCUGGUAGUCCACGCAGUAAACGAU